rnacentral:rRNA from 1 species
UACGGAGGGUGCGAGCGUUGUCCGGAAUCAUUGGGCGUAAAGGGCGCGUAGGUGGCCCGGUCAGUCAGUGGUGAAAGCGCGGGGCUCAACUCCGCGUCGGCCAUUGAUACUGCUGGGCUGGAGCACUGUAGAGGCAGGCGGAAUUCCGGGUGUAGCGGUGGAAUGCGUAGAGAUCCGGAAGAACACCGGUGGCGAAGGCGGCUCACUGGACCGGAACUGACGCUGAGGCGCGAAAGCGUGGGGAGCAAACGGG